CCUACGGGAGGCAGCAGUAGGGAAUCUUCCACAAUGGGCGAAAGCCUGAUGGAGCAACGCCGCGUGAGUGAUGAAGGCCUUCGGGUUGUAAAACUCUGUCAUUCGGGACGAACCGGAGUCUGAGGAAAUGCAGACUCUCUGACGGUACCGGAGGAGGAAGCCCCGGCUAACUACGUGCCAGCAGCCGCGGUAAUACGUAGGGGGCAAGCGUUGUCCGGAUUCACUGGGCGUAAAGCGCGCGCAGGCGGUGAUGUAAGUCUGAGGUGAAAACCCGAAGCUCAACUUCGGGACUGCCUUGGAUACUGCGUCACUUGAGGAUAGGAGAGGCAAGGGGAAUUCCACGUGUAGCGGUGAAAUGCGUAGAGAUGUGGAGGAACACCUGUGGCGAAGGCGCCUUGCUGGCCUAUUUCUGACGCUGAGGCGCGAAAGCGUGGGGAGCAAACAGGAUUAGAUACCCUGGUAGUCCACGCUGUAAACGAUGAGUGCUAGGUGUAGGUGGGCUCAUACCCAUCUGUGCCGAAGCUAACGCAUUAAGCACGUCCGCCGUUGGGGAGUUACGGGUUCGCGAAGCUUGAAACUUCAAAGGAAUUGA
rnacentral:rRNA from 1 species